rnacentral:rRNA from 1 species
AUUGAACGCUGGCGGGCAUGCCUUACACAUGCAAGUCGAACGGCAGCACGGGAGCAAUCCUGGGUGGCGAGUGGCGAACGGGUGAGUAAUAUAUCGGAACGUGCCCAGUCGUGGGGGAUAACGUAGCGAAAGCUACGCUAAUACCGCAUACGAUCUAUGGAUGAAAGCGGGGGAUCGCAAGACCUCGCGCGAUUGGAGCGGCCGAUAUCAGAUUAGGUAGUUGGUGAGGUAAAGGCUCACCAAGCCGACGAUCUGUAGCUGGUCUGAGAGGACGACCAGCCACACUGGGACUGAGACACGGCCCAGACUCCUACGGGAGGCAGCAGUGGGGAAUUUUGGACAAUGGGCGCAAGCCUGAUCCAGCAAUGCCGCGUGCAGGAUGAAGGCCUUCGGGUUGUAAACUGCUUUUGUACGGAACGAAACGGUGAGCUCUAAUACAGUUUGCUAAUGACGGUACCGUAAGAAUAAGCACCGGCUAACUACGUG